UCCUUAUCAUAGGAUUGAACAAAUAAGAUUCUACUCUUCUCUCAAAAACCUAAACGUAAUCUUCAUCUUCCAUUUCUAAUAUUCUACCUGAUCUGAACACACAAGAGGCGCCUCCAUCUACAAAGUCGAAACUGAGCUCAUUCUCCUCCGCCAUAGCUAUGAGGCCGAGACACCAAACGGGCUCCGAUCGAGACGCCGCCCAGGGUCGAGACACCGAUCCUUCUCUUUCUCUCUUCACUGCACCUGCACGACGCUGCCGACGCCUUCUUCUUUCUCCCUCAUAGAUCGACGCACCGAGUGAGACAGCUCCCGAGACGGCGCCCAGCUCUGUCCCUCUCUCUCUCUCUCUCUCUCUUCACUUCACCUGCACGAAGCCUCCUCUCUCCCUCUCGGAUCGAGACGCCGCCCAGGACUGCUCUAUCCUUCUCUCUUUCUCUCUUCACUUCAUCUGCCAACUCGAAGCUAGAGAAUAGGAGAUCGUUGUUCUUCAGCACUUAGGAGUUAGGACAGUGAGAGUCUCAGGAGUUUGAAUCUCAUCAACCCAAACUUUUGCCUCCAACAAUCAUUACGUGCAGUCCCCAUCGCUCGCUACCUCACACCCACCAUCUACCACCCCCGCCAUCAGUCUUAGCAUCCUCAGCAGCUCAAUCAGGCAUUGCAUCUUCUCGUAAAGUAUCCUGUACUAGUGACAUCUAAAUUCAGGAGGUAUGGUUUUAGCAAAGAAGUUGUUGAGUGCCCAGGGAAAACUGUGGAAGCCAAUUGAUGAUGGCUGCAUUGCUGCUGGAUAGGAGACUGAAAAAAAUGGCUUGCUAAAUUGCUGCAUCUGAAUUAGGACUUUAGGACUUUAUAUUUCAUUGGAUAUUUGUAUUUGAAUUUGGACACUUUGAAUUCGAAUUUGCAGCUUGAACUUUGUAUCUUGAUAUUGUGUUUUGAUUCAAAUCUUCAACAGCUUGAAAUUU
rnacentral:lncRNA from 1 species